rnacentral:lncRNA from 1 species
GUAAUUACCUACAGAAUGUUUAGGGGGACUGGGAGCAAAAACAAUCCCCUCUUUCAGAAACCAAUCCUGGAAGGUGCUGGAAGGUUGUACUAGCUGUGAAAGUCAGAGGCCACCAGGCAGCUAUCGUGAGACCAAAGGCAGUAGUCAGCUCAGGCAAGCCGGUUUCCUUAUUUAUGUCAAAUUCCUCAGUCUUGGGUCUCCUUAUCUUUUAAAUAAGGAGUUAGAAUAGAAUUUGAGGGCUGUUCACUCAGGCAUCCAUGGUGGCUGCAGCAUAAGGAGUGUGUGGUGUCAGGAUGGGAAGGGCAACAUGGAGACUGCAUGGCCAUUGACGUCUGAAAGUCUCUGGUUGCCAAAAAGAAUCUAUCUACAACAGCAUUCAUCCUGACAGCAGCCAACAGGCAGCCUAGACCUGGCAUGCCACAGCUCCUCUAGGCUCUGAACCCCUCUCAGCUGAGCCUGGUAGAUGCCAGCUGACCGGCUGCAGCCCCUGAGUAGAGGUUGGCUGUCCUAGCAAUAGAGUAGGGCGGGGGCACAGCAGACAUGGGACCAUCAUCUGGAUUCCUAGACGUGCAACUGCAAGCUUAGAAGAAAUAAAGGAAAUAUCCCAGGAGCAAAAACAAAACACACACAUGCUCCUCUCAAGAGUCACUGGCAUCCCAGCUGAAAAGUCAGCUCUACACCUAUGGGACCUAUGGGCCUGUUUCUGAGCUCUGUUUUGUCUCUUUGGUCUGAGUGUCUAUCUGAGGCCAAUACCACAGUACCAAAUGCGAUUGCUUUAGAGGAAGUCUUGAAAUCAGAUGAGGCUGAAGGCUGUUGAAUUAUGAGAAAGCGUCAUUUGAAGAGAUGGAUGCCUGUGACCCCGCCAGGCUCUGCAGACCUGGAGGCGGCUCCAGAUCUGGGGUGUGCGGCGCAUUGUGUGUCCAACAGGUGAUUAACUCUGCUGGUGACAUGUGUUUUUAGAUAUGUGUGUCUUUUCUAUGAGAGUAAAUCAUAAAGCCCACAGGAUGUGCAAGCAGCCAUUCUCGCUGGCCAGGCGGUGUUAGCGCUUGCAACGCACAUAGAUUAUAUCCAGGAGGAUGCAGUCAAUACUUUCUGGGUCCUUUUUAGGUUUUGGGGGCUUUGCAACACGCUUUACACUGCCCCUCAUAAACCCGUCCUAACUGUGCGUUCCAGAAAAUGUGCAGUUUCUUAAGUUUAGGAAUUUUUUUUACGGCUUUUAUUUUGAAUGCUUGGAUUCUUAACUUCUGGUCCCAGUGCAGGUUCAUAAACAGACAUGGGGACAGAGGUCUGCCUGGCCAGAGCUUAGUUCUGAGGGACACGCUUCGGCCAUCCGGAGAGAGGGCCUGCUCCCCAGGCUGAGGAGACAACGGCCACGCCGGGGAGCACCACUCCCAGUCAGGGCCUAAAGCGUGGAGCCUGGGAAGAGGGGGCUUGCUCCUCCGCCUGCUCCUGGCAGUACACCCCAGGUCCCCCCGUUACCUAGGGAAUGGCGCUGAGCAGGGCAGGUCCCAGGGCGCCAUGGAGAGAAGGAUGUCAGCCGCAAAGCCCUUGGGCGACCAGGCCCAGAGCCGCCCACUUGGGACAAGCCGCCAGGAGCAAGGGCACAGCUUUCUUCUGGGUCUCGCAGGCCCCUGGCUCUGCACAAAUGGUGGGAGGGACCGAUCCUACCCUGGAACCGUAGAACCUCGUCCAGCUCUGAGUCAGGAGCCAUGGGGGCCAUGGCCUUCCGGGCCUGCUGACCUGAGUAAGGGUCCCAGCACCGCUUCCAAGGCCGGGACAAACGCCUGCUCCUAGUGGGUCCCGCGUUGUUCCCGCUUGUUAUCUAAGAGAUGCGGUCAGCCCUUCGGAAGCCCUCCGACCCCGCCCAACCCCCACACUUCUCCGGCCGCUGCUCCUCUUCCCCCAUUCAAGCCAGUCUGGCCUCCGGCUCUGUUCAGAGCAAGCCCAGCCUCCUUGUCAUGGACUGGAAGGACCCCUGGCUCCAGGCUCCCGUCCUGCUCACACCCAGGAGUGUGGGCCACGCACUCCCGGAACCUAACUGUGGGUGAAUGCUGGCCCUGGCUCCAGGCUCCCGUCCUGCUCACACCCAGGAGUGUGGGCUGUGCACUCCGGGAACCUAACUGGGGCUGGAGCUCGUCCUUGUCUCCUCUGACAUCAGCUGGACGCACCAUUUCUCUCCAAACCACAAACUCCCCUGAGCUGCCCUUUCUCUGGGAAUGCAUAGCUGUCGGGAUCCCCACGGGCUAUCACCUGCCAGGUUGAGGUCUGGCAGGAGUCUUCCUACCUCAUGACAAAGCUUCAACCCUCUCCAGCCAGGAGACACUUAACUCUGCUCAUUGCCCCUUUGAAGCUUGUGAUAUGAACAGACCCACAUCCAGUACCAUCUCUGCAUCAAAAAGCUUUGGUUACGAGUGAGGGAAAUCAGCUAAAACGCACUUAUGCAAAAAAGGGACAAAAUGAACUCUCAUUAACUGGACAGUUCAAAAAGGGGAGGCUUCAGGCAUGGCUCGAUCCAGAGGUCAAACUCCUGCUGGUUGCUCUUGGUCUCCGUCUUACUCUCAGUUGGUGUUCAGGGCCAUGCAUGUUGCCUCCACAUUUUGGCAAACAUGUACUCUGGGCCCUGGGGGCUGAAGUCAUCCACAGCUCUAGUGACUGCACACCUCAGCGACCUCUGCUUCCUCUGAGGUGAGCCUGGCAGGAGCACGUCCACAGGCAGUCACCAGAAAUGAAGCCACUCAGGACUGUCACAGAGCCACAAGUGUCCAAGCCAAAAAGUCAAAGUGUAAAAAGGAAGAGGGAGCCCCCUCCACCCCUGCCUGAGGUGUUUAAACAUGGCGAACACGGAUAACUAAAUGCCAUUCAAUCAAACCUUACUUUCUAUUCCUUCUCUGUCAUCGAGGGGCACAGCUCUGAGGGUAGAACAUUUAGCAUCUCAUUAACAAUGGCCGUGUGCUGCUGAAUAUCCGAGUGGGAAGCCAGAGUUUGCAGAGAAGCUUCGUGUGUGCUCCAGCCCAUCGAGUGCCUGUUUACGGAGCAGGUGACAGGAUUGAGGCUUCACCCGCUGCCUCCACAUGUACAGCCAUCGUGCAGGGCUCCUGCCGCGUUCAAAGGCAUUACGUUAUCUCUCAAGGGAAAGUCAUACUUUUAAAAUACAAAAUUCUCUUUUAUGCAGCAAAAUUGCUGUCAUACAUAUUUCAAUGGAAAAUUAAGUGUUGUAAUAAAAUAUAACAAGGAUGAUAAAGGCAUGUAGUAUUUUAUGCCAUCGAAUGCCAUUAUACCAUCCCAUACAAUAAAUUGGUACUGCUCUAAGUAACCUUCAAAACAAUUUAGUGCUA